AAAGCCUGAUUUGGAAAGUUGGUAUGGGUACGAGCAUUUCAGUUAGCAGUAAUGUAUGGAUUCAAAUUACAAAAAAUUAAGAUUAUCUUCCGUUAUUAAUAAUUUGCAUUAUGACAAAGUUUCUGAGCUUAUCAAUAAUUAUGCACGAGAAUGGAAUAGAGAUUUGAUUGUUCAUACCUUUCCAGCAGCAAAAGCUGAUCUGAUCCUCAAAAUACCACUAGCGUUGGAACCUCAUGAGGAUUUUAGGGCUUGGAGUGGCGAACAUUCGAGAGAGUACUCCGUCCAGAGUGCUUAUAAACUAUUACAAAGCCUCGAUCCUACAACUUAUGCUUUACAAACAGUCUACAGAGAUUUCUACAGAAAACUAUGGCGCCUAGAUCUACCCACAAAGAUAAAAAUUACAAUCUGGAAAACCUCGUGGAAUUUCCUUCCUACUCGGGCAAAUAUGGUGGGCAGGAAACUAGCAAAUAGUCCAGCAUGCCCUAGGUGUGAAGUGGAAGCAGAAACGAUGAACCAUCUCUUUCGAGAAUGCUCUGUUUCAAUUAAAGUAUGGGAAGCAUUAUAAGUAUCAAAUCUGUUACAGUUCUCAAAUUUAGAGUUCGAUCAGUGGCUUAUAGAGAUCUUCGCUCUUGUCUCUCUGGAUCAGUGUAGAAUUGUGUGUGCUGGGAUAUGGGCUAUCUGGGAGGACAGGAAUGCUCGAGUACAUGACAAAACAAACAGAUCUGGUCAAGAGAUAGCGAGUUAUGUUCGUCGUUAUCUAAGUGAACUCGAUGGGGCUAGAAUAAACAUCCUAAGGACUCUUAAGGAAGUUUUUAAAUGGACUCACCCGCAGGGACAGGCAGUGAAGAUUAAUUUUGAGGAUGCUUUUGAUGAGCGGAACCACCAGUCAGCGUCGGGGUAGUGGCCAGAGAUAAUAAGGGAUUCGUUCUCAUCUCCUGUUUAGAGAUUCACAGGGAUUCGUUCUCAUAUUUUUAUAUCUAGAUUAAAUUAUAUUGGGU
rnacentral:lncRNA from 1 species